AUCUCAACGAGGUAACGUGAGCAGCAACUAGCAUUGCAGUGCUAGGUGCGACGUUUCAACUCGUCCUAAUCCUCGUACUUACAGUCAUGGUGGAGUAUACCUUAAGUGGUACUGGGAACCCCUGUUUUUUAUAUUGUGCUUAUAGACCUUGCAGGCAACCAGGCGAUGUAAAGUGCGGAUAUCACUGCAACUGCGUUGGAUCUGUAUGUCUUCCAAGAAGACGUGUGCAUACCUAGGCAUGGGCAACUCGACUCAGCACCACAUGAUGGCAUUGCCCAU
rnacentral:lncRNA from 1 species